rnacentral:rRNA from 1 species
CAGUCGCCGCGGUAAUACAGAGGGUGCGAGCGUUAAUCGGAUUUACUGGGCGUAAAGCGUGCGUAGGCGGCUUCUUAAGUCGGAUGUGAAAUCCCUAAGCUUAACUUAGGAAUUGCAUUCGAUACUGGGAAGCUAGAGUAUGGGAGAGGAUGGUAGAAUUCCAGGUGUAGCGGUGAAAUGCGUAGAGAUCUGGAGGAAUACCGAUGGCGAAGGCAGCCAUCUGGCCUAAUACUGACGCUGAGGUACGAAAGCAUGGGGAGCAAACAGGAUUAGAUACCCGCGUAGUCCCUGUCUCUUAUAC